rnacentral:rRNA from 1 species
UACAGAGGGGGCAAGCGUUGUUCGGAAUUACUGGGCGUAAAGGGCGCGUAGGCGGCCUUCUAAGUCGAACGUGAAAUCCCCGGGCUCAACCCGGGAACUGCGUCCGAUACUGGCAGGCUUGAAUCCGGGAGAGGGAUGCGGAAUUCCACGUGUAGCAGUGAAAUGCGUAGAUAUGUGGAGGAACACCGAUGGCGAAGGCAGCCCCCUGGGUCAAGAUUGACGCUCAUGCACGAAAGCGUGGGGAGCAAACAGGAU